UUGAUUGUUGUUUUAAGAUAAGAGCAUUCAGCUAUUGCUCCAACACCAUUCCUGCCGGAGUGAUACCAUGUUCCCUGCCAUGACAAUCAUGGACUCAUCCACUGAAACUGAAAGAAACGGGGGAAAGAAAACCUGAAGGCCUAGAGACCCAAGGUGCAUGUGAGCUUAGUCUUCUCAGAUGAGAGGCUGAACUCUUCCCACUACUGACACGUAAAGAAGGCAUGUCCUUGGCUGGUGUCGUGUAAAGGAAGCCCAGCUCUUCAGCAGAGCAGACCGCUUGAACUACCUGGACGUGCUCGGCUGUCACGAAGGGGAAGUGGAGGUGGUACUUGAGUCAGGCAUCCGUGGACUUUAAAACUAAUGAGCAAAAUCACUCCCCCCAAAAACCAGAUCGGAAUUCAUGGUAAUGUUCUGGUGCAGGUUCAUUCCAGGAAGACUCACAACCACGAAGCGUCUUCUAGUCACACUGGUGUUGAACACUUCUCCCGUGUUUCAUUCACUCAUUUCCAGGAGUGCAAAGCAAAUCCAAGUACUUGCCUGAAAGUGCUAUUUAUGCUCUUAAUUAAUGUUUUAAAUUAGCGUAAAAGUAGUGGGUUUCAUUAUAAUAUUUCCACAUAUAUUUUAUUUUAUUUCUUUCUUUACCCCACUGCCCUGCACGCCUAUUCCUACCACUUGCUUGGGCCUUUCCUUGUAACCACACCCUGCUAUUCUACCUUUAGAACAACGUAUAACAUUGCCCUCUUUCCUCUCCCCUCUCCCCGAGAAUCUCCUCUAUUCUCAUUGUCUUCUUUCUAGUGUAUCUCCUCCGUGCACAUAUACAUACAAACGUAAAUCUAAACUCCACAUAUGAGGGACUCUCAUCAUAUUUAUCUUCCUAAGUCAAGCUUAUUUUACUUAAACAUGAUUUCUCAUUCAAUUCCUUUUCUUGCAAAUAUGGCAACCAUUUUCUUUAUAAAAUUCCACUUUGUAUACACCACAUUUUAUUUACCCCGUUCAUCCAUUUGUCAAGAUCUAUCUUAGUUCUACUUCUUCACUAUUAUGAAUCGUGUAGUACUGAGCAUGGGUAUGCAAGUAUCUCUGUAAUAUUAUUAUUAUUAUUAUUAUUAAAAUUUAAAUUACACAGACA